UUUGCAUCAUCAGCUGAUCCUCCAGAGAACUGAGAAGGUUUAUAGUCCUGUGAGUUCAACACUGCAGGACUCACAUCUGUCAGUCAACACAGCAGAAAGCACAACCACCAUGACUCUCAUCACCAUCCUCAUCUGGACGCUGACCUGCUGCUGUUUUACAGGAUGCAGCGGUCAGGUGACUGUGACUCAACCUCCAGUAGUGACAUCUACUCCUGGAUCCACUGUCACUCUGACCUGUAGGACCAGCCAAGCUGUUUACAGAGAUUCUGAUGUUUUUGAUCUUAUGGCGGCUUUGGGUGAUGGUGAUGAUGAUGAUGAUGAAUAUAUAUUCUGGUAUCAACAGAAAUCUGGACAGACUCCAAAGCUCCUAAUAAAAUAUGUGAAAAAGCUUGAGUCAGGAACACCAUCUCGAUUUAGUGGCAGUGGAAGCAGCUCUGACUUCUCUAUGAACAUCAGUGGAGUUCAGGCUGAAGAUGCAGCAAUUUACUACUGUCAGAGUUACCACAAAAUAAACAGUGCUUGGGUGUUCACAAAGUGAUUUGUAGUCGUACAAAAACCUCCCUCAGUCAGACUGCAGAGACACUGAGCUGUUACAGCAGGAACUGACUGCAGCUGCUGAAGUAGGAGAGACUCUGGUACAGACCACUGAACACAGAGCUGACAGUAACCUCACCAAGCACUAAAUAAAGAAAUUAAUUUAAACACGUCAUGUGUAUUGAGGCAUUCUGAAAUAAGAAUUUUAAAAACAUCUGCUGUGAUCAAGUCAUUUUCUGUUAACAUUACGUUAUUUAACUGUAUUCACAUGAAUAGUUUUGCUGUUUGUAUAAACAGAUGGAGCAUAAAUGUUU